UACGUAGGGGGCAAGCGUUGUCCGGAAUCAUUGGGCGUAAAGAGCGUGUAGGCGGCCAGAUAAGUCCGCUGUGAAAUCUCGAGGCUCAACUUCGAGCUGUCGGUGGAAACUGUCUGGCUAGAGUCCGGAAGAGGAGAAUGGAAUUCCUGGUGUAGCGGUGAAAUGCGCAGAUAUCAGGAAGAACACCCGUGGUGAAGGCGGUUCUCUGGGACGGUACUGACGCUGAGACGCGAAAGCGUGGGGAGCGAACAGG
rnacentral:rRNA from 1 species